UAUUUUUGACACUUUGAUUGGAAUGUUAUCCAGAUUUUUUUUUUAGAUAUGCAUGUCAAAACAAACAAUUUCAUCUGUAAGGGCAAUGUCCGAUCAUUUGAAUGAUACAAGAUGACGUGUGUAGGGUUAACCAGGGAAAACAGUUCCUGCCCUUUGAAAGAUUACAAUCUGGGGUUGUUGAUGAAACGAACCAUUAAACGGGGACAAAAGCUGAAAUGGCAAACAUUUGUUGUAAUUUCAGCAUUCUUCUAUCAUAAAAACGGGCUUUGAUUCAUAUUUUCCUCACUAACAUCUCAGUUAUUAGAUGAAAUGUGAAUUAAUCUAAUCUUUGUAUUUAAACAGCUACAGAGAAUAUAUCUUACCAUUUUAAAAAAAUAAAAUGCUGCCUGCUUUUUUUUUUUUAAAAAUGCGAACAUAUGAUGGAUCUGGUGAAUGGAGCUAAAAUGGCAGCUACAGACUCAAACUUAUGUCAGAAAUUACAAUGUGGGGUGCGCCGGUGGCUCAGGGGUAGAGCUCACAACCCGAGUUUGAAGGCGGCCGUCCCGGGUUGGAGUUCCUGUCAGUUUUCUGGCCACUGGUGCCUAAAAAGAAAAUACAUUGGAUUUUUCUUUUUGUUUCUUGAUUAAACGAUUGCCCUCUUCGGAGAUUUCUACUCACAGAAUUCCCUAUCUACAGUAAAUCUGGGCAUCAAUAAUGAAAACUGACAUUUCCUCCAUAAUGGUGGUACAGAUGUGAAGUCAGGCAUAAUAAUGGGCCCAGAGAUUCAGGUCAAAUAAAAACCUUGACGUGUCUGCGGUGGUGAAGAAGGUUCGGCAUAUUGACCAAAAAUUGGCUGGUAAUUCAAAGACAUGGCCAGAAACUGAAGUGUAAUGGGAUGUAGAAUUAAUUCGUAACACCAUCAUUUCAUGCAAAAAACAAAACAACUUAUGCAGAUAUCUUUUUUUUUUUCUAUCAAAGAUGUUUUAGAAAUCGUUGUGAGGAUAAAUUUGCAUGUUUUCCUAAUGUCAGGCAGCCCCACCCUGCACUUUAUUAAAAUUAGGGAUCAGACAAAGGAGGAACCCAUCAGCAGAGCUGCUUUCCUGCCCCUUCUCUGCUCGCGUCUCUUUGCCAUUGUAGGAGAAAUCCAGACACACUUGAUAUUAACUUGAGCUAAACAAGUAGCCUGAUUUUCUGUUUGUCUGCUGUGAAGAAAGUCGUCGUUUCUGCACAAUAGCCUGCCUCCUGUAUGAUGGAGGAAUGAGCUGGUUUGCAUCCCCUUCGCUCAGCUGUGAGAGUGAAACCCAGCUGCGACGUGCCUUCAGACAAUCCAACCAGAUUGUCUCGAUGUUUUCAUGAACAUUCGUCGCAUUCAUCUGUGAAGCUGACUUUGGAUGGUUUUUAGGCCUGCGUGUUAUUAUUUCUCUCUUAAAUGGGAAAAAAAUCAGAUUUAUUUCAUGAAAUUUCUAACAUUUUCAGGGCAAAAA